CUUGGGAGCCAACCUGUGACUG
rnacentral:miRNA from 1 species